rnacentral:lncRNA from 1 species
UGUCCGCGAGCCUGAUCUUUCUCGGUUGUGUGACAAGAACCUGACUUUUCCUGCAGCACAAGGAGAGAGGCACUUUGAGGUUUUCCAAGCUCUCGUCCUAUCUAUGCUUUGGGCGCUGAACAGGGAGGGGACCGUGAUGCCAUGCAUGGCCAACAGCAACGGAUGCCAAGCAAGGCUCAUGGCAUAAGACAGACUCGAGGAACUAAGCAGUGGUCACAGGCAGAGGGAGUUAGCAGUGGAGCUGACUGCAUUGGAAAGCCUUGGGAAAACAGCACGGAAAAUAACAGGCGGCCGGAGCCACGGCCAGGUUGGUGUUCCAUUAACCAAGUCGCUG